GGUUUGUGCGGAGAGAGAAGGCGGGGAGAGGAACGCGCCCUCCUGGGCCACAUUCUGAUUGGCUAUUGUGCAGUAUUGACAGUGUGCAUAUCUCUGCCUGCCGAUUGGUCCAACUCCGAUGCCCCGCGGCCCCUUUCAGCAGCCCGGCGGGGCGCGGGAGGGCAGUGCCGGACGGCAAGCGAGGGGCUGGAGGGGCGGGGACGCCCCAUGGCCCGGAGGCCGCGCGUGUCCCGCUCCCGGCCCGAUGCUGCCUCUUUUCUAAGGUGAAGAACAGAAUAAAGAAGCGCUGCAGGAUGUGGAAGAUGAAAACCAGUGAGACAUCGAGGCCAACAAGAGAACCCAUCUCUGACCACCCUUACCUUCCCCCACAAAUCCCUCAGUGUCACUCUGAGAACCACCAAAUCUGACUUUUACAUUGGGUCUCAGAAUUUAGGUUCCUGCCCUGUUGGGUUUCUUUUUGUUUUGUUUUGGGGUUUUUUUAAACACCGUUCAAAAGUUCUUAAAAGGCAAGAGUGACUUUCUGUGGAUUUGACUGGUGCCAGCUUCUUAGAUUCCUUAAGACACUAACAGGACUGCGUAACGGCUCGUUCGGCAUUACUGUAUUGUCUUCUGCCAGGCGUGGCAAGAUAACCGUUAGAAAUGAAUGUUACAUCUGAAAGCCAUCAGACUUUUAAGGAAGAGAUUUCCUGCACUGUAGGGUGCACGUGGUGGUAUUUUUCUUUUUUAUAAUUGUUCAAACGGAAUUUUAUACCAAUGUUUAACUUAAUUUGGAGUUUAACUUAGAUUGAAGUUACAGGUUUUCUUGGAACGUUUAUUAUAGUGGUUUUGCUGUAAAAAGUUUCCAAACUGCUGAAAUGUUGCUGAAAAAAAUACGGUGCUGGUAACAGUUCAAUAAUCCGUAGCUGUUCAUUCUUGCCUACUUUCUACUUCUCCUCCAAGCAGGUUAGCGUUGAAGGUGGCAUUGAAAGCCUGCAUGCGUGUUCAAUAUUUUUUUUUCUCCCUUCCCCUUCCCCUCCUCCUCUCGCUCGCUCAACCUCUUUUGUUCAGUAUGUGUAACUUGAAGCUAAUUUGUACUACUGGAUAUCUGACUGGAGCCACAGAUACAGAAUCUGUAUUGUUCUUACUGAAACACAGCAUGGAAUUAACAUUAAACUUAAAUAAAACAAACCUAAA